rnacentral:rRNA from 1 species
UACGUAGGGUGCAAGCGUUGUCCGGAAUUAUUGGGCGUAAAGAGCUCGUAGGCGGUUCGUCACGUCGGCUGUGAAAUCCCGAGGCUCAACCUCGGGUCUGCAGUCGAUACGGGCGGGCUGGGAUUCGGUAGGGGAGACUGGAAUUCCUGGUGUAGCGGUGAAAUGCGCAGAUAUCAGGAGGAACACCGGUGGCGAAGGCAGGUCUCUGGGCCACUACUGACGCUGAGAAGCGAAAGCAUGGGGAGCGAACAGG